UGACCGAGAUUCGUUGUGUGAAGUAGUUCCUUGAGGCGUUUCUAUGUGGCUGUUCAGCUGCUGCUGAGAAGGAAAGGACCCACGCUCGCACUAACAGUCUUUUGACGAACACCUUUUGCCUCAGUCUGCCCCCGGGAUUAAAGGGGAAACCGAGACCUGAAUGGGCUUGGCCAUCUCCAGUAGCUCGCGUGACGACCGCAGUCGUGGCAGGUGAAGAAACUGAUACCGAGAAACUAGCUUAAGUUGCUAGUUACAUAGUGACAGAUUUAAACAGGUAUGUCUGAUUCCAAAAUACAUGUCCUUUCCACUACUGAAAUAUUAGGGCUGUUUUUAGACGGGAGGAGAAAUGUGGGAUGGAUAAAAAGAAGACAAAAGAUGUUUGCCAUUUGAUACAAAACAGAA